ACACUCUGAGCAGUCCUGCUAAUGUUACGAUGCCCAAGGGCGGUGCCGGUUAUGUUUACCACUUGUGCAUUUCCACAGAACACUGCAUGCCAUCCUAUCUCACCUCUUUUGGUACCACCUGUUAUUGAGAAAAAGAUACACUGAAGUUAAGAACAGUUGGUGAUCUUCAAAGUUAAUAGCUAAAGAUACCUCUUAAGACCUUACAGAAGCAUGUUUUGGAUAGAUGGAAGAUUGAUUGAUAUGCUUAGUGCUUGAUAUAAAGUUAACACUGAAAGCAUAUUUGGUGAGUGAAGUUCCUGCUAUAUAGCCUUCAGUGAGGAGUGAUUGAAAACCAUGAGGUGACUUUGAUUCCUGGAAACAACACUGGGAUUUCCUUAAGCUAUCAGUGACCAAGUGCCCUUCCUGGAUUACACUAGUCCACUGUUCUUAUUUAGGAAGCCUGCUUUCAAUGAGACGUUUCUGAGCAGAAAUUUAAAAUGUGUGAUUUGUAUUGUCUCAGAAUUCUAAUAGAGAAUUACUGAGAAAUAUGCAAAGACUGUU
rnacentral:lncRNA from 10 species